UACGGAGGAUGCAAGCGUUAUCCGGAUUUAUUGGGCGUAAAGCGUCCGCAGGUGGUUUUCCAAGUCUGCUGUUAAAGCGCGAGGCUUAACCUCGUACAGGCAGUGGAAACUGGAUGACUAGAGUAUGGUAGGGGUAGCGGGAAUUCCCAGUGUAGCGAUGAAAUGCGUAGAUAUUGGGAAGAACACCAGCGGCGAAAGCGCGCUACUGGGCCAUUACUGACACUCAUGGACGAAAGCUAGGGGAGCGAAAGGG
rnacentral:rRNA from 1 species